GUAGCUUGCAUUUUACCAUCCUUAGCAUAGCAUGUUUGUUGCAGCUGCAACAAAGAUCAGAAACGACGGCCCGUGAGUUUGUUUUAACUUAAACCAAGACAAAAAAUGUCGACUAGAACAGGUAGUUGUGCAGCUGCGUUUAAAAGAAAUGUGUCACAACUCGUGCCGAUGACAUCCCCAACCCGGAUGUAGCGCCGCGGUCCGAAACAAUGAUAGCUUGCCUCAAUGGCUUCAGGUGGGUAUCAAAACAACGUGAGCUCAAACUACGUAAUACGAGCGCCAUGGGGACAUUAAAUAAAUGGGAGAGUGCACAGAAUUGAAAUGGUCGCUUUUUAAAAAAAAAAAAAAUGUGCCCAUUACCCUUGUUUCUACGUAGUUUGAGCUCACGUUGUUUUGAUACCCACCUGACGCCAUAGGAAAGAGGCUGCGCUGUGGAACCCAAACUCUUGGGAUUAAAAAAAAACGUUUCCUCACAAACGCCAUGGAUCGCAGAGAGGAUGACACGCUGUGAGAGCAAAACAGGAUCACUGUUUAUGAAUUCAGGAGGAACCAGAACUGGACCAACUCACCAAAGAGUCACUUCCUGUCCUUCCCCUGGAGGCGAUGGGUGCAGUCCUCCAUGUCCAACAUUGACAAUGUGCACUGAUCCAGUCCAGUCUGCUGGAGCACUCCCUUGGCAUGAUGGUGGAACUGAAGCCUGCAGUUAGCUUGCAGCGGCUCAGAAAGCAAUUUAGUCGCCAACAUGGCGGCUGAAUGAAGCGACGGAAGGACAAUACGUCGCUUCUCAUUAGCGCUAAUGGGCUGACCGUGAUAGAGGAGGACGAAGAGGCCGACACCACUCAAGAGCCAGCCCGGGAUCUGCAGAUUCACUCACCCUGGAGGUCAAAAACACUCUGGAUGCAAAACUCCCUCACACACACACACACACGCACACAUACGGAUUGAGGACAAACACGAUCACAAAACAGAGAAACACUCCAAGAUGCUUUUUGGUAAGUUCACUUUCUAUGUGGACUAGUUGAAAGAUCAGUUCACCACUGCAAAACUAGUUUAUAGUUGCUAACAGGCUAUUGCCCUUCAAAUAUUGUUCUGGCAUUUGAGCUUUCCUAUUGUUGCCACCAAUUCAGUCCACAUGAGUAGCCAGUGGCAGCUGUCACUGCAUAACAUGAGGAAAACUGUUGUUUGAAUGGUUAUUUUUUUUUUUAAAUGAGACAGUUUUAUUAGAUUAGAAAAUUAAAGUAAAAGUAAAUUAGAGGGACUUUUCUCCCCCAUGUGCAAACAAAAACACAAACAUAGUAUGAAAAGAACGAUGAUGAAAGGAUCUUGAUAACUUUGUGUUCCUUGGAGCCCUGGCUGUCAUGCCCCUGGCAUCCUCCCCAGGCUGGGUGUGGUCAGCCAAUUAGUCGGCACACACCUGCACUCUUUUUCGGCUGAUUACACCCAGUACUUAUAGGACACGGGGGACAACUAGUCCUCCGCCAGAUCGUUGAUUCCCAUGCCUCUUUCCCGCACUCCCGUAUACCUGACCUACCGUGUACCGACCCUCGCCUGUUCCCUGACCAUCCUAGAAAGCCUGCCUCUUCUGAUCCUGCUGCUUUUCCUGACUG